CUAACUGUCUCCUGCAGCCAAUCAAUGAAACUGAUCUCCCAGUACAAAAGCUGAGAUACCAUUAUAAGACGAGAAGACCCUGCGGAGCUUUAAAUUAUACCAUUAACCAACUAAUUAGUACCCAAACACUGGCUCACAAAACCUAGCCUAGUAUAAUGCUAAAUUUAAGUUGGGGCGACUACGGAGUAAAAAGAAACCUCCAUGAAAAAUCGGACUACAGUCGAUACUAGGCCAACACGCCAAAUAAGUAAUAAUUUGACCCAGCCUUGCUGACCACCGAACCAAGUUACCCCAGGGAUAACAGCGCCAUCCUCUUUAAGAGUCCCUAUCGCCAAGAGGGUUUACGACCUCGAUGUUGGAUCAGGACCCCCCAGUGGUGUAGCCGCUACUAACGGUUCGUUUGU
rnacentral:rRNA from 1 species